GGAGUCUAGCAUGUGCGCAAGUCAUUGGGACCGUCGAAUCCUAAAGGCGCAAUGAAAUUGAAGGAUCGCCUCGCGCGAUCCGAGGGGAGAUGGGUGACCCGCCGCGGUCGCCCCGCAUCCCCGGGGCGUCUCGUUCUCAUUGCGAGAAGAGGCGCACCUAGAGCAGUACACGCUGGGACCCGAAAGAUGGUGAACUAUGCCUGGUCAGGACGAAGUCAGGGGAAACCCUGAUGGAGGUCCGUAGCGAUUCUGACGUGCAAAUCGAUCGUCGGAACUGGGUAUAGGGGCGAAAGACUAAUCGAACCAUCUAGUAGCUGGUUCCCUCCGAAGUUUCCCUCAGGAUAGCUGGCGCUCGUUCUAACGAGUCUCAUCCGGUAAAGCGAAUGAUUAGAGGCAUUGGGGUCGAAACGGCCUCAACCUAUUCUCAAACUUUAAAUGGGUGAGAUCUCCGGCUUGCUCGAAUAAACUCUGGUGAAGCCGCGAGAUGUAACCGUAUCGGAUCAUAGUGCCAAGUGGGCCAUUUUUGGUAAGCAGAACUGGCGCUGUGGGAUGAACCAAACGUCUAGUUAAAGCGCCUAAAUCGACGCUUAUGGGACACCAUGAAAGGCGUUGGUAACUUAAGACAGCAGGACGGAGGCCAUGGAAGUC
rnacentral:rRNA from 1 species